CCUACGGGAGGCUGCAGUGGGGAAUAUUGCACAAAGGUGGAAACCCUGAUGCAGCGACGCCGCGUGAGCGAUGAAGUAUUUCGGUAUGUAAAGCUCUAUCAGCAGGGAAGAAAAUGACGGUACCUGACUAAGAAGCCCCGGCUAACUACGUGCCAGCAGCCGCGGUAAUACGUAGGGGGCAAGCGUUAUCCGGAUUUACUGGGUGUAAAGGGAGCGUAGACGGCGGUGCAAGCCAGAUGUGAAAGCCCGGGGCUCAACCCCGGGACUGCAUUUGGAACUGUGCUGCUAGAGUGUCGGAGAGGCAGGCGGAAGGCGUGGUGUAGCGGUGAAAUGCGUAGAUAUUAGGAGGAACACCAGUGGCGAAGGAGGCCUGCUGGACGAUGACUGACGUUGAGGCUCGAAAGCGUGGGGAGCAAACAGGAUUAGAUACCCCAGUAGUC
rnacentral:rRNA from 1 species